rnacentral:tRNA from 1 species
GGACCCGUCGUCUAGCCAGGAUAGGACGCUGGCCUGCGGAGCCGGAGGUCCCGGGUUCGAAUCCCGGCGGGUCCA